GCCCUACGGGGCGCAGCAGGCGCGAAAACUUUACCAUGCGGGCAACCGUGAUAAGGAAACCCCGAGUGCCAGCACAGGCUGGCUGUCCGCCAGUUUAAAUAACUGGUGAAGAAAGGGCCGGGCAAGACCGGUGCCAGCCGCCGCGGUAAUACCGGCGGCUCGAGUGGUGGCCGCUAUUACUGGGCUUAAAGGGUCCGUAGCUUGAUAACUGGGUCCCUUGAGAAAUCCGCCAGCUCAACUGGCGGGCGUUCAGGGGAAACUUGUUUUCUUGGGACCGGGAGAGGUGAGGGGUACUGCCGGGGUAGGAGUGAAAUCCUGUAAUCCCGGUGGGACCACCUAUGGCGAAGGCAUCUCACCAGAACGGGUCCGACAGUGAGGGACGAAAGCUGGGGGAGCAAACCGGAUUAGAUACCCGGGUAGUCCCAGCUGUAAACUAUGUGCGUUAGGUGUGUCAGUGACCACGUAUCACUGAGGUGCCGAAGGGAAACCGUGAAACGCACCGCCUGGGGAGUACGGUCGCAAGGCUGAAACUUAAAGGAAUUGGCGGGGGAGCACCACAACGGGUGUAGCCUGCGGUUUAAUCGGACUCAACGCCGGGAAUCUCACCGGA
rnacentral:rRNA from 1 species